rnacentral:rRNA from 1 species
AUUGAACGCUGGCGGCAGGCCUAACACAUGCAAGUCGAGCGGAUGAGAGGAGCUUGCUUCUCGAUUCAGCGGCGGACGGGUGAGUAAUGCCUAGGAAUCUGCCUGGUAGUGGGGGACAACGUUUCGAAAGGAACGCUAAUACCGCAUACGUCCUACGGGAGAAAGCAGGGGACCUUCGGGCCUCGCGCUAUCAGAUGAGCCUAGGUCGGAUUAGCUAGUUGGUGAGGUAAUGGCUCACCAAGGCGGCGAUCCGUAACUGGUCUGAGAGGAUGAUCAGUCACACUGGAACUGAGACACGGUCCAGACUCCUACGGGAGGCAGCAGUGGGGAAUAUUGGACAAUGGGCGAAAGCCUGAUCCAGCCAUGCCGCGUGUGUGAAGAAGGUCUUCGGAUUGUAAAGCACUUUAAGUUGGGAGGAAGGGUUGUAGAUUAAUACUCUGCGAUUUUGACGUUACCGACAGAAUAAGCACCGGCUAACUCUGUGCCAGCCGCCGCAGUAA